rnacentral:rRNA from 1 species
UACGUAGGGUGCGAGCGUUGUCCGGAAUUAUUGGGCGUAAAGAGCUCGUAGGCGGCUUGUUGCGUCGGAUGUGAAAGCCCGGGGCUUAACUCCGGGUCUGCAUUCGAUACGGGCAGGCUAGAGUUCGGUAGGGGAGAUCGGAAUUCCUGGUGUAGCGGUGAAAUGCGCAGAUAUCAGGUGGAACACCGGUGGCGAAGGCGGUGGUCUGGGCCGGCACUGACGCUGAGGAGCGAAAGCGUGGGUAGCAAACAGG